GCUGCCCCUCGAGUUGUUUCCGGUAUGGUUGUGAUGCCUGGCUGCUUCAGUAGGUAGCACACAGGAGACAGGCCUGACAGAGCUAAUGCUCUGACCUAUGAGCUCAGGAUGGUUAAUUGUCUGGCAUA